rnacentral:rRNA from 1 species
GACGAACCGUGCGAACGUUGUUCGGUAUCACUGGGCUUAAAGGGCGCGUAGGCGGUCAGCACAAGUCAGUUGUGAAAUCUCCGGGCUUAACUCGGAAAGGUCAACUGAUACUGUGCGACUAGAGUGCGGAAGGGGCAACUGGAAUUCUCGGUGUAGCGGUGAAAUGCGUAGAUAUCGAGAGGAACACCUGCGGCGAAGGCGGGUUGCUGGGCCGACACUGACGCUGAUGCGCGAAAGCCAGGGGAGCGAACGGG